rnacentral:rRNA from 1 species
GACGAACGCUGGCGGCGUGCUUAACACAUGCAAGUCGAGCGGUAAGGCCCUUUCGGGGGUACACGAGCGGCGAACGGGUGAGUAACACGUGGGUGACCUCGCCCUCAGCUCUGGGAUAAGCCCGGGAAACUGGGUCUAAUACUGGAUAUGACUCCAUGACGCAUGUUGUGGGGGUGGAAAGCCUUGUGCGGCUGAGGAUGGGCCCGCGGCCUAUCAGCUUG